rnacentral:pre_miRNA from 1 species
UAAAUCAUUUUUUGAAUCAGAGGGGAAGUCCUUGAUUUUAUGGAAUGAUUUACG